GGAGCUUUAGCUCAGUGGUAGAGUAGUAGAUUCCAAUUCUGGUUUGUUCAUCUAUUGGUCACAGGUUCAAGUCCUGUAAGCUUCA
rfam:Cryptococcus amylolentus CBS 6039 supercont1.9, whole genome shotgun sequence.